GGAGAGGUGGCAGAGUGGUUGAAUGCGGCGCACUCGAAAUGCGUUAAUAGGGCGACCUAUUCGUGGGUUCAAAUCCCACCCUCUCCG
rnacentral:tRNA from 1 species